rnacentral:rRNA from 1 species
AGGGUUUGAUCAUGGCUCAGGACGAACGCUGGCGGCGUGCCUAACACAUGCAAGUCGAACGGGGUACCCUUUAAGGAAGCUUCGGCGGAAUUAGAGGAAUACCUAGUGGCGGACGGGUGAGUAACGCGUGAGCAACCUGCCUUUAAGAGGGGGAUAACAUACCGAAAGGUAUGCUAAUACCGCAUAACAUAUUGAUACCGCAUGAUAUUGAUAUCAAAGAUUUAUCGCUUAAAGAUGGGCUCGCGUCCGAUUAGAUAGUUGGUGAGGUAACGGCUCACCAAGUCGACGAUCGGUGGCCGGACUGAAAGGUUGAACAGCCACAUUGGGACUGAGACACGGCCCAG